UAGGGAAUCUUCGGCAAUGGACGAAAGUCUGACCGAGCAACGCCGCGUGAGUGAAGAAGGUUUUCGAAUCGUAAAACUCUGUUGGUAGAGAAGAACGUUGGUGAGAGUGGAAAGCUCAUCAAGUGACGGUAACUACCCAGAAAGGGACGGCUAACUACUUGCCAG
rnacentral:rRNA from 1 species